rnacentral:lncRNA from 1 species
GGAGAAUCAAUUUCUCUCAGAUCUUACUCCCCUGUUCACAACAGGCAUUGUGCCCUAUCGUGACAAAAGUCAAGCAGCAGAGCCAGAGCGGCGACGUUCUUCCUCUACCCACAGCGACCCAUCACUGUGCGCAGCAAUAGCAGUGAAAGAAGAACCCCCCAGUGGUUGUUAAAGAAAAAUAAAGAAAGCCACAACGAUUCUGUUCAAGGGAGACAGCAGUCCUUUCAGGCCUCCUGUGAUGAGCGGUCCACGGCAGGUGGUGAGCAAAAAAAGGAGCAGUAACAGGGAGGAUCCAAGCAGGAGAAGGAAGGAAGAGGUACUGAGUGCCAGAAUGCCUUGUCCUGGCUCACUGGAGAAGGAGAUGGGUAGCUGGAGGAUCUGGAGAAAGCUGAGAACUGCAACAGGGCUGAAGUCCUGCCAAUUGAAUGUUGCUGACACAGGAG